CACCUGCAGUCCCAGCUACUCAGGAGGCUGAGACGGGAGAAUCCCUUGAACUCAGGAAGUGGAGGUUACAGUGAGCCGAGACCCUGCCACUGCACUCCAGUCUGAGUGACAAAGCAAGACUGAAAAAAAAAGUAAGCACACACUCACAGUGUCCACAGGGUCCCAGCACUGACACCCAGUUCUCACACUCAGUGUCUACAGGGUCCCAGCACCGACGCCCAGUUCUCACAUUCAGUGUCUACAGGGUCCCAGCACCGACGCUCAGUUCUCACAUUCAGUGUCUACAGGGUCCCAGCACCGACGCUCAGUUCUCACACUCAGUGUCUACAGGGUCCCAGCACCGACGCCCAGUUCUCACAUUCAGUGUCUACAGGGUCCCAGCACCGACGCUCAGUUCUCACAUUCAGUGUCUACAGGGUCCCAGCACCGACGCUCAGUUCUCACACUCAGUGUCUACAGGGUCCCAGCACCGACGCCCAGUUCUCACCCUCAGUGUCUACAGGGUCCCAGCACAGACGCCCAGUUCUCACCCUCAGUGUCUACAGGGUCCCAGCACCGACGCCCAGUUCUCACACUCACAGUGUCUACAGGGUCCCAGCACCCACGCCCAGUUCUCACACUCGCAGUGUCCACAGGGGCCCAGCACCGACGCCCAGUUCUCACACUCACAGUGUCUAGAGGGUCCCAGCACCGACGCCCAGUUCUCACACUCACAGUAUCUACAGGGUCCCAGCACCGACGCCCAGUUCUCACACUCACAGUAUCUACAGGGUCCCAGCACCGACGCCCAGUUCUCACACUCAGUGUCUUCAGGGUCCCAGCACCGACGCCCAGUUCUCACACAGUGUCUACAGGGUCCCAGCACCGACACCCAGUUCUCACACUCAGUGUCUACAGGGUCCCAGCACCGACACCCAGUUCUCACACUCAGUGUCUACAGGGUCCCAGCACCGACGCCCAGUUCUCACACUCGCAGUGUCCACAGGGUCCCAGCACCGACACCCAGUUCUCACACUCGCAGUGUCCACAGGGUCCCAGCACCGACACCCAGUUCUCACACUCGCAGUGUCCACAGGGUCCCAGCACCGACGCCCAGUUCUCACACUCAGUGUCUACAGGGUCCCAGCACCGACGCCCAGUUCUCACACUCACAGUGUCCACAGGGUCCCAGCACCGACGCCCAGUUCUCACACUCGCAGUGUCCACAGGGUCCCAGCACCGACGCCCAGUUCUCACACUCAGUGUCUACAGGGUCCCAGCACCGACGCCCAGUUCUCACACUCACAGUGUCUAGAGGGUCCCAGCACCCACGCCCAGUUCUCACACUAAGUGUCUACAGGGUUCCAGCACCGACGCCCAGUUCUCACACUCAGUGUCUACAGGGUCCCAGCACUGACACCCAGUUCUCACCCUCAGUGUCUACAGGGUCCCAGCACCGAUGCCCGGUUCUCACACUCACAGUGUCUACAGGGUUCCAGCACCGACGCCCAGUUCUCACACUCAGUGUCUACAGGGUCCCAGCACCGACGCCCAGUUCUCACACUCAGUGUCUUCAGGGUCCCAGCACCGACGCCCAGUUCUCACCCUCAGUGUCUACAGGGUCCCAGCACCGACGCCCAGUUCUCACCCUCAGUGUCCACAGGGUCCCAGCACCGACACCCAGUUCUCACACUCACAGUGUCUAGAGGGUCCCAGCACCCACGCCCAGUUCUCACACUAAGUGUCUACAGGGUCCCAGCACCGACACCCAGUUCUCACACUCACAGUGUCCACAGGGUCCCAGCACCGACACCCAGUUCUCACACUCAGUGUCUACAGGGUCCCAGCACCGACGCCCAGUUCUCACACUCACAGUGUCUAGAGGGUCCCAGCACCCACGCCCAGUUCUCACACUAAGUGUCUACAGGGUCCCAGCACCGACACCCAGUUCUCACACUCACAGUGUCCACAGGGUCCCAGCACCGACACCCAGUUCUCACACUCAGUGUCUACAGGGUCCCAGCACCGACGCCCAGUUCUCCCACUCAGUGUCUAUAGGGUCCCAGCACAGACGCCCAGUUCUCACACUCACAGUGUCUACAGGGUCCCAGCACCGACGCCCAGUGCUCACACUCAGUGUCUACAGGGUCCCAGCACCGAUGCCCGGUUCUCACACUCACAGUGUCUACAAGGUCCCAGCACCGACGCCCAGUUCUCACACUCAGUGUCUACAGGGUCCCAGCACCGACUCCCAGUUCUCACAUUGAGUGUCUACAGGGUCCCAGCACCGACACCCAGUUCUCACACUCAGUGUCUACAGGGUCCCAGCACCAACACCCAGUUCUCACACUCGCAGUGUCUACAGGGUCCCAGCACCGACGCCCAGUUCUCACACUCAGUGUCUACAGGGUCCCAGCACCGACACCCAGUUCUCACACUCACAGAGUCUACAGGGUCCCAGCACCGACGCCCAGUUCUCACACUCAGUGUCUACAGGGUCCCAGCACCGACGCCCAGUUCUCACACUCAGUGUCUACAGGGUCCCAGCACCGACACCCAGUUCUCACACUCACAGCGUCUACAGCGUCCCAGCACCGACACCCAGUUCUCACCCUCAGUGUCUACAGGGUCCCAGAACCGACGCCCAGUUCUGUUACUGACAUACUGACCCAUGGACUGCUGUAAAGGGACUUUUGAAGCUGUAAUUAAGGUCCCAAAUAAGCUACCUCAAAAUCGGGAGUGCCCAGGUUUGCGUGACCUAGUGAGAAGAGUCCCUCCAGGGCAGCUUUCUCCAGCUGAGACUGAAGAGGACGUCAGGGCCUAUGUCUCCGCUGGCCUGGCAGAAGGCAGUGGGGUGGGAAGGAUGCGAGCCCGGUCCACGGACAGGGAGACAAGACCUCCAACGCCAGGGGGUCUCACCUGGCAUGGUCAGAAGGGCCAGGACCUCCAGGGCAAGGACAGGCCCUGGCUGACUCUGGUUCAGGAAAACAUGGAGACAUUCUCAAGACAGCUGGGAAGAGGUAAGGCGGCCUGAAAAUCAGGUAACGCCGUGAAGUAGGUGCCACCGUCCUAGGGUCACAGUGGGGUUGUAGCGGUGUGGGGGCCUCCCCUAGUUCUUGCUCUCAGGUGGGACUCACCUUCCCAGCAAGGCUCCUGUCCGGAGCCGCUCACAGGUGAGUCCAGGAUGUACUGAGAGAAGGAGAGGAAGCAAAUGCGGCCGAACGGCCACGAGUGGGUCUGGGCAGUAGAGGGUGCCGUCCUGGUCUGUUCAGGCGGCUGCGACCGAAGCACCUUAGGCCGAGCAGCUGACAAACCACAGAACGCACCUCUCAGUUCUGCAGGCUGGGAGUCCAGAAUCAAGGCGCUCGCAGAUUUGGGGGCUGGUGGGGUCAGAGUCCUCACAGGCAGUGCCUUCUCUCGUGUCCUCAAAUGACAGAAAGGGCGCUGGUCCUGUCAUCAGGGCAGAGCCUUCCGAGGGCCCCACGCCUGACACUGACACCUUGGGGGUUAGGGUCCCCCAUGGAUUCUGGGGGACACAGACGUUCGGACCACAGCAAGUGCUCACUGUAUAAUUUUCUCCAUUUUUCUGUAUUGCGAUUUUUUUUCUUAACAAAAACUUGGGUAAAAAAGUAAAUUAAAAUCACUUAACAUUUAAAAAAUUUUAAGGUGAGCCCUCGUGGCCCCCACAUUCCAAUGAUGCCUGCCCUGUGCGCCCUCUGCUGUGCCAGGCUCACACUGCGAAAUAAGCACAGCUUUUACGGUCUGAUUCCUGGGCGGCAUCAGGAAUCCAACAAGUUCAUACUCAUGCCGCCUCAGAACAGCUCCACACAGCAUCCAUGAGGAUCAGCUUCCGGUUACUGUUUAUUGAGCAUCUAAUACGGGCCACGCCCUGAUCAAGAACCUGGAAAUGUGACAGCUCACAAGACCCAGACAGGAGACACAGGCACAAAGUCAUAGCCCCCCACGAGGCCACACAGGAUCCAUGAGGCCACAGCCCCCACCAGGCCACACAGGACCCAUGAGGCCAUAGCCCCCACAAGGCACACAAGACCCAUGAGGCCACAGCCCCCACGAGGCCACAGCCCCCACAAGGCCACACAGGACCCACAAGGCCACGGCUCCCAUGAGACACACAGGACCCACAAAGCCACAGCCCCCACCAGGCCACACAGGACCCACAAGGCUACAGCCCCCAUGAGGCCACAGCCCCCACCAGACCACACAGGACCCAUGAAGCCACAGCCCCCACCAGGCCACACAGGACCCACAAGGCCACAGCCCCCACCAGGCCACACAGGACCCACAAGGCCACAGCCCCCAUGACGCCACACAGGACUCACAAAGCCACAGCUCCCACGAGGCCACAGCCCCCACCAGACCACACAGGACCCACGAAGAACAUAGGACCCACUUGGCCACAGCCCCCAGGAGGUACACAGCCCCCCACAGGGCCCACAGGCCCCACAGGCCCCCAACAAGGCCAUACAGCCCCCAUGAGGCCCACAGCUCCCACGAGGCUCACAGCCCCCAUAAGACCCACAAGGCCAACGGGACCCACUGAUUAGAGGGAGUUUCAAGGAAGUCUGCAGACAGAUUUCCCCUCUUUGCAUCUAUUUCUCAUUAAACAUCUGGAAUUUGCUGUUAAUGUAGCAAAGCCCAGCAAAUAUCAAUGAAUUUGAAAAAAAGAAAAAAGAAACCAAGCCAACAAAUCCACUCUCUAAAUGCACCUAAAUAUUAGAGUUUAU
rnacentral:lncRNA from 1 species